ensembl:antisense 1110002L01Rik RIKEN cDNA 1110002L01 gene
CAUGGUCUGUGGGUCGGAUGUCUGGCGGUCACACCCGCCGGGAAGAUCUUCUGGCGGAAACAGAAUCUGCUCCUUUCGGGAAAGGCUGAUUGCGCGGUUACGUGCAGCGUGUGUUGAGGAGUGGCUCUGGAAACUUAAAGAGCCCGACGAUCAAGUGAUCUUGCCAACUACCGUUUUAAUCAGCAUGUUUUAUUUUGUUGUGGUACAGGCUCAGGCAUGCUAUUUCAAGCUUGUCAUCAUAUUCAUGGAGGCAGAGACAGGAGAAUUGCUAUUAGGUCCAUGCCAGCCUGGCCUACACAAGCCCAAUGCAAGCCCUGGCAGAUGUCUUCAACACCAGAGUGACACUCAGCCUGAAGGCCAGGAUUGAAGACUGGAAGUACAGGGGCAAGAAAUACCUUUGAAAAUACUCCAGUGUCCAAACUGCUCACUGGUGUUGCUGCCUUUUGAGCCAGGGCACGAGGCUUUGUUGAGGUCACUACUUUUCAUUCCCUCCAAGAUGGACAAGAUGUUUGUUUUGUGCACAGUAAGUGGAACACAGGGCCUCCGGCAUGGUGCUUGUAUGUUCCCUUCAGAAACUAAGGAAUGG